UUUUCCAGUUCUUGAACUAAUAGUCCCACACCGACCACGAACUGAAGCUCUUCAGAUUUUAUACCCCGAAGCUCAACAGUGGAGUUUCUCUCUUCGGGGACAUCGGAUAAAACUGGAACGAUACAGUGAAGAUUAGCAUGGCCUUUGCAAGGAUGACACACGCAAAUUGAAAAAUUAUCCAAAUUUUGUUUUGCCCUCUCGCCGGCGGCGAUUCUCCGGUUCAAAUUCUUUUUUUGCCAGACGUUGCGCCGAUACACUUUCUUAAGAGCGCACUUUGGAGAUGUCAGUUCUUAACAAGUUUGGUUCAAUAGGGUUUGGAAUUGCUUACCCUUUACUCCUGAAAUUAUGUUCAAGAAAAGAUUUGUUAAUAAUUUGUUUUUUACUUCAGAAAGAUAACAAUGGUAUAUUAUUUUCUUCAACUUCUAGUCUAUGUACUUUAGAGUUUAGAAUAUGUCAUUUACGAAGACUUUCAUAAACUAUGUAGAGAAGUCAAAAGAGCAGUCAAUUAGCUUUGCAUAGAAGGAACACAAAAAAGAACUAAGUUGGUGUAUUGAUAAUUUAUGCAUAACAUUAAUACAUGAACUAAAGGAGAGCAGAUCCUACUCGUUGUGUUUGUUAGAGCCCUCGACGUUGGUUGAAGGAAUGAUAUGCAGUCUCUUUAUGCGGUAUAAGAGAAUCCUCACUUCUUGAAGUAGCUUUUUGAGCCGAGUUCAGGCACAUAUUUAUUUUCUUUGCAUGUUAUCAAGAAUCAAAUGUAUACAAUUAUUUAUUUAUCCAAUAUUGGGUCUCAUUUAUGUUAUUAAGCACCGUGCGGGUUGUUA